rnacentral:rRNA from 1 species
CCUACGGGUGGCAGCAGUGAGGAAUAUUUGUCAAUGGACGAGAGUCUGAACCAGCCAAGUAGCGUGAAGGAUGACUGCCCUAUGGGUUGUAAACUUCUUUUAUAUGGGAAUAAAACGUUCCACGUGUGGGAUUUUGUAUGUACCAUAUGAAUAAGGAUCGGCUAACUCCGUGCCAGCAGCCGCGGUAAUACGGAGGAUCCGAGCGUUAUCCGGAUUUAUUGGGUUUAAAGGGAGCGUAGGUGGAGUGUUAAGUCAGUUGUGAAAGUUUGCGGCUCAACCGUAAAAUUGCAGUUGAAACUGGCAGUCUUGAGUACAGUAGAGGUGGGCGGAAUUCGUGGUGUAGCGGUGAAAUGCUUAGAUAUCACGAAGAACUCCGAUUGCGAAGGCAGUUCACUGGACUGCAACUGACACUGAGGCUCGAAGGUGUGGGUAUCAAACAGGAUUAGAUACCCGUGUAGUC